rnacentral:rRNA from 1 species
UACGUAGGAUGCAAGCGUUGUCCGGAUUUACUGGGCGUAAAGCGCGCGCAGGCGGCAUACCAAGUAUUCAGUGAAAUCUCCCUGCUCAACGGGGAGGGUGCUGAGUAGACUGGUAAGCUAGAGGACGGUAGAGGGGGGUAGAAUUGCUGGUGUAGCGGUGAAAUGCGUAGAGAUCAGCAGGAAUACCCGUGGCGAAGGCGGCUCUCUGGGACGGUACUGACGCUGAGACGCGAAAGCGUGGGGAGCGAACAGG